GGGGAAUAUUGCACAAUGGGCGAAAGCCUGAUGCAGCAACGCCGCGUGGAGGAUGAAGGCCUUCGGGUUGUAAACUCUUGUCUUCUGGGACGAUAAUGACGGUACCAGAGGAGGAAGCCACGGCUAACUACGUGCCAGCAGCCGCGGUAAUACGUAGGUGGCGAGCGUUGUCCGGAUUUACUGGGCGUAAAGGAUGCGUAGGCGGAUAUUUAAGUGAGAUGUGAAAUACCCGGGCUUAACUUGGGUGCUGCAUUUCAAACUGGAUAUCUAGAGUGCGGGAGAGGAAAGUGGAAUUCCUAGUGUAGCGGUGAAAUGCGUAGAGAUUAGGAAGAACACCAGUGGCGAAGGCGACUUUCUGGACCGUAACUGACGCUGAGGCAUGAAAGCGUGGGGAGCAAAC
rnacentral:rRNA from 1 species